rnacentral:rRNA from 1 species
AACAAAACACUACUAGGCGUGCGAUGGUAAUGAGGAGGUUGAGAUGAUUAAAGGGAAUAACGGGUGGAAAAAUGUGCGUAGGAGUGUUGUUAGCACAGAUGUGAAAGCCCUGGGCUAAAGCUAGGAAGAGGAGUUCGAACUGGCGAAGUAGAGUCUUGGAGAGUGGGGUAGAAUUCCAGGUGUAGCGGUGAAAUGCGUAGAGAUCGGGAGGAAUACCGGUGGCGAAGGCGGCCCGCUUGACAAAGACUGACGCUCAUGCACGAAAGCGUGGGGAGCAAACAGGAUUAGAACCCUAGUAGUC